UACGGUAGAGAGCAAGCGUUGUCCGGAAUCAUUGGGCGUAAAGGGUACGCAGGCGGUCUAUUAAGUCAGAGGUGAAUCCAACAGCUCAACUGUUGAACUGCCUUUGAUACUGGUAGACUUGAGGAUAAGAGAAGAAACCGGAAUUCCUAGUGUAGCGGUGAAAUGCGUAGAUAUUAGGAAGAAUACCGAUGGCGAAAGCAGUUUUCUAACUUAUUCCUGACGCUCAGGUACGAAAGCUAGGGGUAGCAAACGGG
rnacentral:rRNA from 1 species